UACGGAGGGGACUAGCGUUGUUCGGAAUUACUGGGCGUAAAGCGCACGUAGGCGGAUUUGUAAGUCAGGGGUGAAAUCCCGAGGCUCAACCUCGGAACUGCCUUUGAUACUGCAAAUCUCGAGUCCGGAAGAGGUGAGUGGAAUUCCUAGUGUAGAGGUGAAAAUUCGUAGAUAUUAGGAAGAACACCAGUGGCGAAGGCGGCUCACUGGUCCGGUACUGACGCUGAGGUGCGAAAGCGUGGGGAGCAAACAGG
rnacentral:rRNA from 1 species